rnacentral:rRNA from 1 species
CGCGUAAGCAAUCUGCCCCUAAGACGAGGAUAACAGUUGGAAACGACUGCUAAGACUGGAUAGGAGACAAGAAGGCAUCUUCUUGUUUUUAAAAGACCUAGCAAUAGGUAUGCUUAGGGAGGAGCUUGCGUCACAUUAGUUAGUUGGUGGGGUAAAGGCCUACCAAGACUAUGAUGUGUAGCCGGGCUGAGAGGUUGAACGGCCACAUUGGGACUGAGACACGGCCCAAACUCCUACGGGAGGCAGCAGUAGGGAAUUUUCGGCAAUGGAGGAAACUCUGACCGAGCAACGCCGCGUGAACGAUGAAGUAUUUCGGUACGUAAAGUUCUUUUAUUAGGGAAGAAUAAAUGAUGGAAAAAUCAUUCUGACGGUACCUAAUGAAUAAGCCCCGGCUAACUAUGUGCCAGCAGCCGCGGUAAUACAUAGGGGGCAAGCGUUAUCCGGAAUUAUUGGGCGUAAAGGGUGCGUAGGCGGUUAAAUAAGUUUAUGGUCUAAGUGCAAUGCUCAACAUUGUGAUGCUAUAAAAACUGUUUAGCUAGAGUAAGAUAGAGGCAAGUGGAAUUCCAUGUGUAGUGGUAAAAUGCGUAAAUAUAUGGAGGAACACCAGUAGCGAAGGCGGCUUGCUGGGUCUUUACUGACGCUGAGGCACGAAAGCGUGGGGAGCAAACAGGAUUAGAUACCCUGGUAGUCCACGCCGUAAACGAUGAGUACUAAACGUUGGGUAAAACCAGUGUUGAAGUUAACACAUUAAGUACUCCGCCUGAGUAGUACGUACGCAAGUAUGAAACUUAAAGGAAUUGACGGGACUCCGCACAAGCGGUGGAUCAUGUUGUUUAAUUCGAAGGUACCCGAAAAACCUCACCAGGUCUUGACAUGCUUCUGCAAAGCUGUAGAAACACAGUGGAGGUUAUCAGUUGCACAGGUGGUGCAUGGUUGUCGUCAGCUCGUGUCGUGAGAUGUUGGGUUAAGUCCCGCAACGAGCGCAACCCUUAUUGUUAGUUACCAGCACGUAAUGGUGGGGACUUUAGCAAGACUGCCAGUGAUAAAUUGGAGGAAGGUGGGGACGACGUCAAAUCAUCAUGCCCCUUAUGACCUGGGCUACAAACGUGAUACAAUGGCUGUUACAAAGGGUAGCUGAAGCGCAAGUUUUUGGCGAAUCUCAAAAAAACAGUCUCAGUUCGGAUUGAAGUCUGCAACUCGACUUCAUGAAGUUGGAAUCGCUAGUAAUCGCGAAUCAGCAUGUCGCGGUGAAUACGUUCUCGGGGUUUGUACACACCGCCCGUCAAACCACGAAAGUUGGCAAUACCCAAAGCCGGUGGCCUAACUUCGCA